rnacentral:rRNA from 1 species
GAUGAACGCUGGCGGCGUGCCUAAUACAUGCAAGUCGAGCGAAUGGAUUAAGAGCUUGCUCUUAUGAAGUUAGCGGCGGACGGGUGAGUAACACGUGGGUAACCUGCCCAUAAGACUGGGAUAACUCCGGGAAACCGGGGCUAAUACCGGAUAACAUUUUGAACCCCAUGGUUCGAAAUUGAAAGGCGGCUUCGGCUGUCACUUAUGGAUGGACCCGCGUCGCAUUAGCUAGUUGGUGAGGUAACGGCUCACCAAGGCAACGAUGCGCAGCCGACCUGGGAGGGUGAUCGGCAAACCUGGGACUGAGACACGGCCCAGACUCCUACGGGAGGCAGCAGUAGGGAAUCUUCCGCAAUGGACGAAAGUCUGACGGAGCAACGCCGCGUGAGUGAUGAAGGCUUUCGGGUCGUAAAACUCUGUUGUUAGGGAAGAACAAGUGCUAGUUGAAUAAGCUGGCACCUUGACGGUACCUAACCAGAAAGCCACGGCUAACUACGUGCCAGCAGCCGCCGUAA